rnacentral:rRNA from 1 species
GAGCACUCCUACGGGAGGCAGCAGUGGGGAAUAGUUGCACAAUGGGCGCAAGCCUGAUGCAGCCAUGCCGCGUGUAUGAAGAAGGCCUUCGGGUUGUAAAGUACUUUCAGCAGUGAGGAAGGUGGGUAUGUUAAUAGCAUAUUCAUUUGACGUUUAGCUGCAGAAGAAGCACCGGCUAACUCCGUGCCAGCAGCCGCGGUAAUACGGAGGGUGCGAGCGUUAAUCGGAAUUACUGGGCGUAAAGCGCAUGCAGGUGGUUUGUUAAGUCAGAUGUGAAAGCCCGGGGCUCAACCUCGGAAUUUGCAUUUGAAACUGGCAAACUAGAGUACUGUAGAGGGGGUAGAAUUUCAGGUGUAGCGGUGAAAUGCGUAGAGAUCUGAAGGAAUACCGGUGGCGAAGGCGGCCCCCUGGACAGAUACUGACACUCAGAUGCGAAAGCGUGGGGAGCAAACAGGAUUAGAUACCCUGGUAG